UACGUAGGGGCCGAGCGUUGUCCGGAUUCAUUGGGCGUAAAGAGCGUGUAGGCGGCCGCUUAAGUCCUGCGUGAAAUCUCGGAGCUCAACUCCGAGCGGUCGUGGGAAACUGGGCGGCUAGAGUGCGAGAGAGGAGAGUGGAAUUCCUGGUGUAGCGGUGGAAUGCGCAGAUAUCAGGAAGAACACCCGUGGCGAAGGCGGCUCUCUGGAACGCA
rnacentral:rRNA from 1 species